rnacentral:rRNA from 1 species
UACGUAGGAGACGAGCGUUGUCCGGAAUUACUGGGCGUAAAGCGCGCGUAGGCGGACGUUUAAGUCAGGGGUGAAAUGCCGGGGCUCAACCUCGGAACUGCCUUUGAUACUGGACGUCUGGAGUUCGGGAGAGGUGAGUGGAACUGCGAGUGUAGAGGUGAAAUUCGUAGAUAUUCGCAAGAACACCAGUGGCGAAGGCGGCUCACUGGCCCGAUACUGACGCUGAUGCACGAAAGCGUGGGGAGCAAACAGG